UACGUAGGGCGCAAGCGUUGUCCGGAAUUACUGGGCGUAAAGGGCUCGUAGGCGGCCAACUAAGUCGGACGUGAAAUCCCUCGGCUUAACCGGGGAACUGCGUCCGAUACUGGAUGGCUUGAGUAUGGGAGAGGGAUGCGGAAUUCCAGGUGUAGCGGUGAAAUGCGUAGAUAUCUGGAGGAACACCGGUGGCGAAGGCGGCAUCCUGGACCAUUACUGACGCUGAGGAGCGAAAGCCAGGGGAGCAAACGGG
rnacentral:rRNA from 1 species